rnacentral:lncRNA from 1 species
CAGCUCUGAGACCUGGAUACAGUUACUCCUCUUCUCUGGGCCUAUUUGUCCAGUGAACAUCAAAACAGGUGGACAAAUGAGAAAUCAUCAAUUACUAGAAAGUGGACCUAUUCAGCUGAGAAGAGGCAGAAGUUGCACAAGGCCAGAUCCAAUGAAUAACGUGGAUGAGGACAUACCACAAUGUUUUCAUCUUUCAAAUGAAAUUGCCAUAAACGAUUGAACAAGGAAAGGUAAUUACAGAAUAAAGUGAAUAUUUAAAU